rnacentral:rRNA from 1 species
UACGUAGGGGGCAAGCGUUGUCCGGAAUCAUUGGGCGUAAAGCGCGCGUAGGCGGCCCGGUAAGUCCGUUGUGAAAGUCAAAGGCUCAACCUUUGAACGCCGAUGGAUACUGCCGGGCUAGAGUCCGGAAGAGGCGAGUGGAAUUCCUGGUGUAGCGGUGAAAUGCGCAGAUAUCAGGAGGAACACCUAUUGCGAAGGCAGCUCGCUGGGACGUAACUGACGCUGAGACGCGAAAGCGUGGGGAGCGAACAGG